rnacentral:rRNA from 1 species
AAAUUGAAGAGUUUGAUCAUGGCUCAGAUUGAACGCUGGCGGCAGGCCUAACACAUGCAAGUCGAGCGGAAACGACAACAUUGAAUCUUCGGAGGAUUUGUUGGGCGUCGAGCGGCGGACGGGUGAGUAAUGCCUAGGAAAUUGCCUUGAUGUGGGGGAUAACCAUUGGAAACGAUGGCUAAUACCGCAUAAUGCCUACGGGCCAAAGAGGGGGACCUUCGGGCCUCUCGCGUCAAGAUAUGCCUAGGUGGGAUUAGCUAGUUGGUGAGGUAAUGGCUCACCAAGGCGACGAUCCCUAGCUGGUCUGAGAGGAUGAUCAGCCACACUGGAACUGAGACACGGUCCAGACUCCUACGGGAGGCAGCAGUGGGGAAUAUUGCACAAUGGGCG